GACGAACGCUGGCGGCGUGCCUAAUACAUGCAAGUAGAACGCACAGUUUAUACCGUGGCUUGCUACACCAUAGACCGUGAGGUGCGAACGGGUGAGUAACGCGUAAGCUACCCGCCCGGUAGCGGGGGAUAACUAAUUGUAACCAUAGCUAAUACCGCAUAAUAUUUAUUAUUCCAUGAUAAUUUAAUUAAAGGGGUAAUUUCACCACCACCAGAUGGGCCUGCGUUGUAUUAGCUAGUAGGUGAGGUAACGGCUCACCUAGGCGACGAUACAUAGCCGACCUGAGAGGGUGAUCGGCCACGCUGGGACUGAGACACGGCCCAGACUCCUACGGGAGGCAGCAGUAGGGAAUCUUCGGCAAUGGACGAAAGUCUGACCGAGCAACGCCGCGUGAGUGAAGAAGGUUUUCGGAUCGUAAAGCUCUGUUGUAAGAGAAGAACGGGUGUGAGAGUGGAAAGUUCACACUGUGACGGUAUCUGACCAGAAAGGGACGGCUAACUACGUG
rnacentral:rRNA from 1 species